AGUGAACGCUGGCGAUAGGCCUAACACAUGCAAGUCGAACGGCAGCACAGUAAGAGCUUGCUCUUACGGGUGGCGAGUGGCGGACGGGUGAGGAAUACAUCGGAAUCUACUUUUUCGUGGGGGAUAACGUAGGGAAACUUACGCUAAUACCGCAUACGACCUACGGGUGAAAGCAGGGGAUCUUCGGACCUUGCGCGAUUGAAUGAGCCGAUGUCGGAUUAGCUAGUUGGCGGGGUAAAGGCCCACCAAGGCGACGAUCCGUAGCUGGUCUGAGAGGAUGAUCAGCCACACUGGAACUGAGACACGGUCCAGACUCCUACGGGAGGCAGAAGUGGGGAAUAUUGGACAAUGGGCGCAAGCCUGAUCCAGCCAUACCGCGUGGGUGAAGAAGGCCUUCGGGUUGUAAAGCCCUUUUGUUGGGAAAGAAAAGCAGCAGGUUAAUACCCCGCUGUUCUGACGGUACCCAAAGAAUAAGCACCGGCUAACUUCGUG
rnacentral:rRNA from 1 species